UGGGGAAUAUUGCACAAUGGGGGAAACCCUGAUGCAGCGACGCCGCGUGAAGGAAGAAGUAUCUCGGUAUGUAAACUUCUAUCAGCAGGGAAGAAAAUGACGGUACCCGACUGAGAAACCCCGGCAAACUACGUGCCAGCAGCCGCGGUAAUACGUAGGGGGCAAGCGUUAUCCGGAUUUACGGGUUGUAAAGGGAGCGUAGACGGAGCAGCAAGUCUGAUGUGAAAGGCAGGGGCUCAACCCCUGGACUGCAUUAGAAACUGUUGAUCUUGAGUACCGGAGGGGUAAGCGGAAUUCCUAGUGUAGCGGUGAAAUGCGUAGAUAUUAGGAGGAACACCAGUGGCGAAGGCGGCUUACUGGACGGUAACUGACGUUGAGGCUCGAAAGCGUGGGGAGCAAACAGG
rnacentral:rRNA from 1 species